rnacentral:rRNA from 1 species
UCGAGGAUCUUCGGCAAUGGGCGCAAGCCUGACCGAGCGACGCCGCGUGUGCGAAGAAGGCCUUCGGGUUGUAAAGCACUGUCGAGGGGGAGGAAAGCCGCAAGGUCUGACCUAUCCCUGGAGGAAGCACGGGCUAAGUUCGUGCCAGCAGCCGCGGUAAGACGAACCGUGCGAACGUUGUUCGGAUUCACUGGGCUUAAAGGGCGCGUAGGCGGGCAAGCAAGUCCGGGGUGAAAUCUUUCGGCUCAACCGGAAAAGUGCCUUGGAUACUGCUUGUCUAGAGGGAGAUAGGGGUUGCGGGAACUUCCGGUGGAGCGGUGAAAUGCGUUGAUAUCGGAAGGAACGCCGGUGGCGAAAGCGCGCAACUGGACCUCUUCUGACGCUGAGGCGCGAAAGCUAGGGGAGCAAACGGGAUUAGAUACCCCCGUAGUCC